rnacentral:tRNA from 1 species
GGCUCUGUAGUGAAGUUCAUAUUGAGUUGCAAGCUCAUUGAUGCAUGCGAGAGCAUGCCGGGGUCU